rnacentral:tRNA from 1 species
GCUUUCGUGGGGUAAUUGAAAGCAUAUUCGAUCCGUAUUCGAGAGGUCUAGGGUUCGAGUCCUGACGAGAGCA